rnacentral:lncRNA from 1 species
GAUCUGCCAUAAUGAAGAACAGGUAUGUAUUCACCGGAGCUUCAUGGGUGACUGGUGCUUUCAACAAGGUUGCAAAAGCAGCAGGGGAUGUUGGCCAGAAAACAAAGGAAAAAGUGGGAGCGGCUGAAGAAGAACGAAAAAGAAAAGUGGUGGAUGACUUUGCACAGAUUCAUCUAUCUGAGUCACCUAAAGCUUCUGCACCAAACGAACAACAUAAUCCCUCUAAGCCUGCACCUGCUCAAGGGCUGAUCCUUUGAGUUGCUGUUGCUGCUGCUGCUGUUAAUACCUUUGGAAUUGAAGUCUGUCGACUCUUAGUAGUUUCUCUCGCAUUUCUAUUUCUGGUGUGGGAAUGGUCCAUUAUA